GACGCUGGCGGCGUGCCUAACACAUGCAAGUCGAACGGGGUUAAUUCCUUCGGGGAUUAACUUAGUGGCGAACGGGUGAGUAACGCGUGAGAAACCUGCCUUUCAGUGGGGGACAACAGUUGGAAACGACUGCUAAUACCGCAUGUGCUAUCGUGAAGGCAUCUUCGUGAUAGGAAAGGAGCAAUCCGCUUUAAGAUGGGCUCAUGUCUGAUUAGAUAGCUGGUGAGGUAACGGCUCACCAAGUCUACGAUCAGUAGCCGGACUGAGAGGUUGAACGGCCACAUUGGAACUGAGAUACGGUCCAGACUCCUACGGGAGGCAGCAGUGGGGAAUAUUGGGCAAUGGGCGAAAGCCUGACCCAGCAACGCCGCGUGAAGGAAGAAGGUCUUCGGAUUGUAAACUUCUUUUAGUAGGGACGAAGAACGUGACGGUACCUACAGAAAAAGCAACGGCUAACUACGUG
rnacentral:rRNA from 1 species